rnacentral:lncRNA from 1 species
AUAACAAGACGCUAACCAAUCCAUACCCAUUAUAACAUCAAAAUCUACCAUUUCUAGUUCCACAAGAUUGGCCAUCGUGUCUCGACCACACACAGUUACUACACAAUCUUUAUAAACUUUUCUAGCAAUAAUAGAUUCCCCAACCGGGGUAGACACUUCCAACGGCUUAUCUAACAAUUCGGGGGUUCUUUUGAACUUUCCAGCAACCAAAGGAGUAACAUAUGAUAAUGUAGAACCCGGAUCAAUUAAAGCAUAUACAUCAAAUGAAAAUAUAGGCAACGUACCCGUAACCACAUCUGGGGAAGCCUCUAGAUUCUGUCAAUCC